ACCCACCGUCGCCCACCCCCCCUCCGCCGACGACCCUCACCAUCGAGCCCACGCCCAGAUCCGCGCUCUCUAGUACUCGCCCGCAACCCUCACCCGUGGCUAGGGUUUCGGCCGCCACCCCUAAAUUCGUCGGGAUCUGCCACAUCCAGCGACAGCGAGGCCAGAGGUGGCCGGAUCUGGCACCGGCAAGCCCCUCCCCUCCUUAUUCGCGCACUAUCUCCUCCUCACCUCACCUUGUCUUGUGUUCCCUUUCGGCAGGUGGAUGGGAUGACGACGAUGGCAGGAGGGGCGAACCUCCAUGGGACGGGUCGCCACCAAGGAGAUGGAGCUCUUUCUCCCCUACCACGCAACCUCCCUCCCAGCGCCAAUAGAGCGCCGGCUACCAUGACGCGACAGCGCUGUCGCAAGCCUCGCGGGGCUGUGCAUCUCGUCGUCUGCCACGCCCUACCAGGAGCUACAUCACCCACACGUCUCCUCUGAAGAAGGGGACGAUGGCUUGUGCGUCGGCGUGGUUGGCUCCAGCUCCCCGCCGACCUAUGACUCCACAUGCGUCGCCGUCUUCGACCACAGGUCACCCAUCCUUGAGGAGCAGAAGGAGGGACGCAUCUAAUUGACGAUCAAGGGCCUGCUCUGCUCCUCUUCUUCCUUGACCAUCGGUACCACCAUGUUCCCGGGCUUCCAAGGUGCGCCAGCACACCGCCGCCAUGCCUCCUCUGCUCUCCGGGCUCGGACCAAUCGCUCGCCCCUUCAGCCCAAGCCUUAUGUGCACUUACUGGUUUACUAGUCCUGAUUAUGUGCACUUCCUGGUUAAAAAUCUGCACUUAUAAUAGUCCAGGUCCGGCAGCACCGCCGCGUCGACGACGAAGGUGGUGACUGCGGCGGCGAGCGGCGCGAGUUGGUGGCUAUGGGACUCGGCGGCACGGCUCUCGUCAGCGGUGACAGAGGCGGUUCUUAGGCGAGCCGAGCGUGCCUCCUCCCCGUCCCCAAAAUCGCGUCCCUUUAACGCGUUCCAUUUCGAACAGCCGGCGCAUCAGCGUUGUCGGAGCGCAUGAUAGACUACUAAAUGGACAAGUAUCUGCAACGUUCAGCGUCGAAGAUGAUGCUUACCAGAUGUUCUACUACAGCCCCAUCCAUAUCAUCGACAUGAAGUUAGAUUUUGGCCUUCAUUCGUCAAAAGUUGGUGUACAAGGAACUCCAGGUGAAGAAUCUUUAAGUAAAUAAUUUAUAUAGAUCAGGAUCUUAUGUUGUCGAGGUGGCUGCUGUUGUGACCAAAGAUCAGCCUGGAGAUGUGCAUCAUAGUUUUAGUUGAUGUUGCCACUAUGUUUUGGUGCAUGUGUAUUUGAUUGUAUGUACACUUGAUGGACCGUGUAGUCGUGUACGUGCUGUUUGAGUUUCAUUUAGUGAUUUCUGGAUUUGAUCAUUUAAUUCAGAAAAUUAUAUAUUGUUUGCUGUUGAAA